GAUGUAUUUGGCACACAAAAUUAGAUGACAGACAGAGACACUCUCUAUUAGCUACAUGGAAAAGUAACUGAAUAACACAUCUUUCACAUUCUGCCUAACAUCUCCUUUUGUAAGUCAUAUAGACAAAAUAAAGGUAAUAAUGUCUUAUGAUAACCAAAACAGUCCUGAGCUAGAUCAAGCUUUGAUCUCUGUAAACCAAACUAUCACUUUAAUUAAAUAAUUUUUUUUCCCACUAUUAAAAAUAUUUUAUCAUUAGCUAGCUCCACACUGGAGAGCUGCUUUAUUUCAGAAAAUAAAGUUGUAAUUCUAACUGAAAGCGACACUGACUCUGGUUUUUCAUGUUUAAUACCGUAAAGCUGCUUGAAUUAAGGCUAUCUAUUGCAUAAAGUACUAUAUAAAUAAACCCGAUGUGACCGGACUUUACUGGAGUAACGUUACGUUAUUGAAAAGCAGAGCUCAUGCAAACAUCCACAUCGUUGUAAUCGGAUGCAUUUUUAACUGCUGCUUUCACACUGCUGCCAGUUUUUGUUGUUUUUAUUUCAUUACUGAGAGGAAAGCGCGCAAUAUAUAUUUACAUAUUCAUCCAAACGCCGCUCAAGUUCGGACGCAUUUUCUCUGAAGCGCUAUGUCUGUCUUCUUCUCUUGAAUUGCAUCCAGGAGAGCUGAAUUACAGUCUUGCACUACAGCGCCACUCUGGUCAAACCGCAGUAUUGCAGGCUCUUACAUUAGGUCACAUGAGAUCAAACGAUUACUCGACAACAAAAAUGUUUGUCGACAAUUUUUUAUUGUCGACGUUGUCGAAUAUCAUUUAAGAGAUUAUUUGAGUUGGGAUUACCAAAAGUAAUGAGUAAAUAUCCCCCAGUUUAUUUUAACUCAAAUUUACUUGCUAUUUAAGUAUGUUUUAAUAAAAAAAUUUAGCAUUUAACUAACAAAUUAUGUUUUUCACAUAUCCUUAAAGUUUUUGGUACAUUUUAAAUGAAAAUAUUUGAGAAUGAUGCAAUGAAACCUGUUAGUUUUAAGAACCAAAAUUAUUACUCGUUUUCUAUCAAUUUCUUUUGUAUUUUGCAUCGACUUUUGUAAGUCGACUUUUGUUUGCAUCGACAAAUUGAGUAAGUUUCGCGGCUAUUUGUGAUCACAUGGACACAAGGAUCGCGCUGAGAGCUGAAUGACGGGAACGACUGCUGCUUACUAGUCUGAAGAAAAUGGCUAAAACCACCUCACGACUCGUUUAAAAUACUGCACUGUCUUCAACUUAAGCUUCAACUUAAAAAAGAAUAACAAAAGGCAGAAGGAUGUUGCUGAUCCACCAACUGGUGUUCAAGAGGAAUUAGCACAGGAAGUGCUGAAGAUUUACCAGCUGCAAAAAGAUGGCUCAGUCACUGAUGUAGGCAUUGUGAUUGAGGGCAUCACAGUCCUCAACAAGCUUCAUGAUCUUAGCAGAGCCUGCUGCUACCUUGUGGGAUUGACCUAUGCCUUGGACCUGCGAUACCUCAAGAACAUUAAAUACACUUUGGAGGUCUUCCAGAAACUUUUCUUGGAUCUGGAUCCACUGAAACUUUCUACAAAAAUUACUCGAUUGCCUAGAUUGUUAGUGA